rnacentral:rRNA from 1 species
CCUACGGGGGGCAGCAGUGGGGAAUAUUGGGCAAUGGGCGCAAGCCUGACCCAGCAACGCCGCGUGAAGGAAGAAGGCUUUCGGGUUGUAAACUUCUUUUGUCAGGGACGAAGAAAGUGACGGUACCUGACGAAUAAGCCACGGUUAACUACGUGCCAGCAGCCGCGGUAAUACGGAGGUGGCAAGCGUUAUCCGGAUUUACUGGGUGUAAAGGGCGUGUAGGCGGGACUGCAAGUCAGAUGUGAAAACCCCGGGCGUAACCGGUGGCCUGCAUUUGAAACUGUAGUUCUUGAGUACUGGAGAGGCAGACGGAAUUCCUAGUGUAGCGGUGAAAUGCGUAGAUAUUAGGAGGAACACCAGUGGCGAAGGCGGUCUGCUGGACAGCAACUGACGCUGAGGCGCGAAAGCGUGGGGAGCAAACAGGAUUAGAUACCCGGGUAGUC